rnacentral:sRNA from 1 species
GCUGGGCGCAGUGGCAUGCACCUGUAAUCCCAGCAGCUUGGGAGGCUGAGGCAAGAGGAUCUUGAGUUCAAAGACAGCUUCAGCAAAAGCAAGGAGAGCCUGUCUCUA